rnacentral:lncRNA from 1 species
GUCGGGGAGGAGAGAUAGAGAUGGGGAAAGGGGACAAACCAGGGAAGCAGGGAUGAGAUGAGGUGGUUAGGGGAGCUAGGCCCUAUUUCUGAGCAUUCUGGGACUUCUGGGGGCUUUGAGAUCACACAGCCAGAUAGUGGCCAGGCUUUGAAUCAAAGCCAGAGUCCCUGACUCCCAGGCCCUUGCUCUUGUGGUUACAACACCUUCUUUCCACUGAACUAGGCUGUUUUUGAGGCGAAACAUUGCCCGAGAGCCCCCAAGCAUAUGGAUAAAGAC